rnacentral:tRNA from 1 species
GGCGCUAUAGCCAAGUGGUUACGGCGACAGAUUCGAAUCGGUUCGUCUAUCUGUUCCUCUUUGAGGGCGCAGGUUCAAAUCCUGCUGGCGUCG